AGCAGCCGCGGUAAUUCCAGCUCCAAUAGCGUAUAUUAAAGUUGUUGCAGUUAAAAAGCUCGUAGUUGAAUUUCGGGAUCAAUAUAUCGGUCGUGCUUCGGUAUGUACUGGUAUUAUUGGUUUCUCCCUUCUGACGAACUAUGAUGUCAUUAAUUUGGUGUUAUGGGGAAUCAGGACUGUUACUUUGAAAAAAUUAGAGUGUUUAAAGCAGGCACACGCUUGAAUACAUUAGCAUGGAAUAAUGAAAUAGGACGUUUGAUCUUAUUUUGUUGGUUUCUAGGAUCGACGUAAUGAUUAAUAGGGAUAGUUGGG
rnacentral:rRNA from 1 species